rnacentral:rRNA from 1 species
GAUGAACGCUAGCUACAGGCUUAACACAUGCAAGUCGAGGGGUAACGAGAGGGAAGCUUGCUUUCCUUGUCGACGACCGGCGCACGGGUGAGUAACGCGUAUCCAACCUGCCCCCAACUAAGGAAUAACCUUGCGAAAGUAAGACUAAUACCCUAUAAUUUCCUCAGAUGACAUCUGACGAGGAAUAAAGAUUUAUCGGUUGUGGAUGGGGAUGCGUCUGAUUAGCUUGUUGGCGGGGUAACGGCCCACCAAGGCAACGAUCAGUAGGGGUUCUGAGAGGAAGGUCCCCCACAUUGGGACUGAGACACGGUCCAAACUCCUACGGGAGGCAGCAGUGAGGAAUAUUGGUCAAUGGGCGGAAGCCUGAACCAGCCAAGUAGCGUGCAGGAUGACGGCCCUAUGGGUUGUAAACUGCUUUUAUACAGGAAUAAAGUUAGCCACGUGUGGUUAUUUGUAGGUACUGUAUGAAUAAGGACCGGCUAAUUCCGUGCCAGCCGCCGCCGUAAAAC